AUUAACGCUAGCGGCAGGCAUAAUACGUGCAAGUUGAACGGCAGCACAGGUAGCAAUACUGGGUGGCGAGUGGCGCACGGGUGCGUAACACGUAUGCAACCUACCCUAUACAGGCGAAUAACCUUUAGAAAUGAGGGCUAAUACGCCGUAGUAUUACAGAUGGGCAUCUAUUUGUAAUUAAAGAUUUAUCGGUAUAGGAUGGGCAUGCGUCCCAUUAGUUAGUUGGUAAGGUAACGGCUUACCAAGACGAUGAUGGGUAGGGG
rnacentral:rRNA from 1 species